CCUACGGGUGGCAGCAGUGGGGAAUAUUGCACAAUGGGGGAAACCCUGAUGCAGCGACGCCGCGUGAGGGAAGAAGUAUUUCGGUAUGUAAAGCUCUAUCAGCAGGGAAGAAAAUGACGGUACCUGAUUAAGAAGCCCCGGCUAACUACGUGCCAGCAGCCGCGGUAAUACGUAGGGGGCAAGCGUUAUCCGGAUUUACUGGGCGUAAAGGGAGCGUAGACGGGAGCACAAGUCUGGAGUGAAAUGCCGGGGCUUAACCCCGGAACUGCAUUGGAAACUGUUCGGCUAGAGUGCAGGAGAGGUAAGUGGAAUUCCUGGUGUAGAGGUGAAAUGCGUAGAGAUUAUGAGGAACACCGGUGGCGAAGGCGGCCUGCUGGACUAUGACUGACGUUGAGGCACGAAGGCGUGGGGAGCAAACAGGAUUAGAUACCCCAGUAGUC
rnacentral:rRNA from 1 species